AUUGAACGCUGGCGGCAGGCCUAACACAUGCAAGUCGAACGGUAACAGGAAACAGCUUGCUGUUUCGCUGACGAGUGGCGGACGGGUGAGUAAUGUCUGGGAAACUGCCUGAUGGAGGGGGAUAACUACUGGAAACGGUAGCUAAUACCGCAUAACGUCGCAAGACCAAAGAGGGGGACCUUCGGGCCUCUUGCCAUCGGAUGUGCCCAGAUGGGAUUAGCUAGUAGGUGGGGUAACGGCUCACCUAGGCGACGAUCCCUAGCUGGUCUGAGAGGAUGACCAGCCACACUGGAACUGAGACACGGUCCAGACUCCUACGGGAGGCAGCAGUGGGGAAUAUUGCACAAUGGGCGCAAGCCUGAUGCAGCCAUGCCGCGUGUAUGAAGAAGGCCUUCGGGUUGUAAAGUACUUUCAGCGGGGAGGAAGGGAGUAAAGUCAAUACCUUUGCUCAUUGACGUUACCCGCAGAAGAAGCACCGGCUAACUCCGUGCCAGCAGCCGCCGUAA
rnacentral:rRNA from 1 species